ACUGGCAGGAGAUAAUCUUGGACUACUUGGUGAGUAGGCCAGCGACGGACUGUAUUUGGCAGACUGAGGAUUGUAGCUUGGGGAUGUAGGACUAUAGGUUGGUGAAGUUGGGCUAUAACUUGGUGAAGUUGGACUAUAACCAGGAGAAGUGGGGCUAUAGGCUGGUGAAGUGGGGCUGUACGAUGGAGAAGUAGGGCUGUAUGACGGUGAGGUAGGGCUGUACGAAGGUGAUGUUGGGCUGUAGGAAGGAGAGGUUGGGCUGUACGAUGGUGAGGUGGGGCUGUAUGCAGGUGAGGUGGGGCUAUAUGCAGGUGAGGUGGGGCUAUAUGCCGGUGAGGUGGGGCUAUAGCUUGGUGAAGUUGGACUGUAACUGGGAGAAGUGGGGCUGUAACUUGGAGAGGUCGGGCUGUAGCUUGGGGAUGUUGGGCUGUAACUUGGGGAGGUUGGGCUAUAGCUUGGUGAAGUAGGUGAGUACGAUGGACUGGUAGGAGAAUAGGCAGGACUGGUUGGACUAUAACCAG
rnacentral:lncRNA from 1 species